GGUUCCGAUCAUACCAGCACUAAUGCACCGGAUCCCAUCAGAACUCCGCAAUUAAGCGUGCUUGGGCGAGAGUAGUACUAGGAUGGGUGACCCCCUGGGAAGUCCUCGUGUUGCAACCGCC
rnacentral:rRNA from 1 species